GUGAGGAAUAUUGGACAAUGGAUGGAAAUCUGAUCCAGCCAUGCCGCGUGCAGGAAGACGGCCCUAUGGGUUGUAAACUGCUUUUAUACGGGAGCAAUAAGGUCUAUGCAUAGAUUGAUGAGAGUACCGUAUGAAUAAGCAUCGGCUAACUCCGUGCCAGCAGCCGCGGUAAUACGGAGGAUGCGAGCGUUAUCCGGCUUUAUUGGGUUUAAAGGGUGCGUAGGCGGCUUUGUAAGUCAGCGGUGAAAUUUUGCAGCUUAACUGUAAAAGCGCCGUUGAUACUGUGAAGCUAGGAUUUGGUUGCUGUGGGCGGAAUGUGUGGUGUAGCGGUGAAAUGCAUAGAGAUCACACAGAAUAUCGAUUGCGAAGGCAGCUCACAAAGCCAAUAUUGACGCUGAGGCACGAAAGUGUGGGGAUCAAACAGGAUUAGAUACCCUAGUAGUCC
rnacentral:rRNA from 1 species